ACAAGUGCGUGUGUGACGACCUGGUGUUCCUCGAAGACCCAAAUGACCCUAGAGGCUGUAUAUACUUUCAGGCAUCCGUGCAUGUCCUGAGACACUCCACGGCCAUCUACCCAGGGUUCCAGUGCUCUGUGCAUGUCGGGAACGUGCGUCAGACGGCCAUUAUCGAGGGUAUAAUGUCUCCGAGCAACUUGCUGAGGGCGGGCGAGG